CUCCCAGCCCGGGGGCAGCGGCAGCUCGUCGGUCACGUCGUAGGACUGCUGUCGGAGGUGCGCGUGCUGCUGCGCCGGGCUGCCCGCAGCGCCCGCGCCGGUGCCCAGCUGCAGAGACGCGGGCGACGAGUGCGAGCGGACGUGCUGGGCGCCGCCGGCCAGUCGGGGCCCCGGGUGACCACCGGACGAAUCGGUGCUCGACUGGCGCGAGUGCGAGCCGGAGUCAGGCUCCUUGAAGAACGACUCGGGCAGGAUCUUCUUCCGCCACGAGCUGGGCUUGGGGUUCAUCACCGAGUUGAAGAGGGCUUCGAGGUCCGUGUCUAGGUCUUGAGUGACGUGGAUCACUUGCUGCCCGGGUGGCGGGAGCGGAGGGGGCGCCGAGGCCGGAUUCAUCUUCUGCAAGGAGAAAGGAGGGUGACUCAGGUCACUAGGGGUUGAGAAGAAACCUGGUCAAAGCUUGGGCGCUGGAAAGGGACAGCGAUCGUGCCCCGCUCUCCCGCGACAUCCGCGCGGGUAGUGGGAGGAUUGGAAUGUCCCUGACGCCCUCCAGAGAGCCUGGAGCCGGGAUGGAACCGGAACAGGUGGCUGGGAGCAGAGAGGGUGCGCCAGUGACCCGGAAAAAACCACCCACCCUCCCACCGACUGGAUCUAGGCGAGGGGUGGAGACCCCCUGCUAGAUCUAGACUGGCAAGACAGCUGCGGGAAGUAGGAGGCGGCCUGGUCCUCCGGAGCAGCUCAAUUCCUUCUUUCCCUUGUCCCUUCUCCACUGGGGGGAAGGGGAGAGUGGCUGCGAGAUUAUUCAUUUACAAAUUGGAGAUAACAGUGUGGUAGGCUGUGACACUGCUGGCCUUCAAUGGACCACCCUUCUUUUGGUCACACCCUUAUGGAGUCCCUCCCACUUAAAUCUGGACUGGACCAGUGACUUGCCUUCGCCUGGAAAAUGCAGCCCUGCAUCUGUGCUUGUUCCCUCUUUUAACCCCAAGGGAGGUGUGGAAGUUUCUGCUUCUGUACUUUUGGGAGAUCUGAGCCACUAGGGAAGAAGUGCAACUACUUUGCUGGGGAAACCAUGUGCAGAGGAAGAGGCCCUGAGAUAGGUGGAGACAGGAAGAACUCCAGCCUUCCAGCACCGGAGCUGAGCCCAGCCCACAGCCGGCCCAACAGCUGACUGCAAGGGCAUCAGUAACCAGCAUCAAGACCAAUAGAACCAGAGCCCAGCCCAGCCCAGCCCAGAUUGUAGAACAAAUAAAAUGAAUAUUGUCU